GGUAAGUAGGUGGAGGGGGCGGCGGUAAUACGUAGGGCGAAUGCGUGAUCCGGAAGUAGUGGGCGUAAAGGGCGCGUAUGCGGUUUGUCGCGGCUGCCGUGAAAGUCCGGGGCUUAACUCCGGAUCUGCGGUGGGUACGGGCAGGCUAGAGUGCUGUAGGGGAGACUGGAAUUCCUGGUGUAGCGGUGAAAUGCGCAGAUAUCAGGAGGAACACCGAUGGCGAAGGCAGGUCUCUGGGCAGUAACUGACGCUGAGGAGCGAAAGCAUGGGGAGCGAACAGGAUUAGAUACCCUUGUAGUC
rnacentral:rRNA from 1 species